GGCGGUGAGGGCCAACUGGCUGGGACAUCUCACACCAGGGUGGAUCGGCUGCUCUGGCAGACGAGGUCGGUGUCCCCUCACUCCUUCGACCCUCCAUGUGCGCUCCUGCCGGGCUUGGCGCUCUGUCUGUCGAACAGAGCGGCCUUCCCCGAACAGAGACGGGCGGGUCUUCUGUUCUGUUGAGCGGCUGCGCUCCCCUGCUAGGACCGCCCCCCCCCCCCCCAACAAGCUCUCAAGGGCCCUAUUGACUUGACUGAAACACAGAUUGUUCAUGAGGAAGGCAGACUCCACAGACUGGGAGAGUUUGUAAGUAAAUAGCUACAGAAUAAAACGUGCUCAAUCACUU
rnacentral:snRNA from 1 species